rnacentral:tRNA from 1 species
GGUGGCUCAGUGGUAGAGUGCUUGCCUUGCAAGCAUGAGGGCCUGGGUUCGAUUCCUCAGCACCA